rnacentral:tRNA from 1 species
UUCUGAUUAGUCUAGUGGGUAGGAUUCCUGAUUUUCAACCAGGCUGCCCAGGUUCAGUCCCUGAGCAGAAA